rnacentral:rRNA from 1 species
CAGUAGCCACGGUAAUACAGAGGGUGCAAGCGUUAAUCGGAAUUACUGGGCGUAAAGCGUGCGUAGGCGGCUUCUUAAGUCGGAUGUGAAAUCCCUGAGCUUAACUUAGGAAUUGCAUUCGAUACUGGGAAGCUAGAGUAUGGGAGAGGAUGGUAGAAUUCCAGGUGUAGCGGUGAAAUGCGUAGAGAUCUGGAGGAAUACCGAUGGCGAAGGCAGCCAUCUGGCCUAAUACUGACGCUGAGGUACGAAAGCAUGGGGAGCAAACAGGAUUAGAUACCCGCGUAGUCCCUGUCUCUUAUAC